rnacentral:rRNA from 1 species
GACGGAGGAUGCAAGUGUUAUCCGGAAUCACUGGGCGUAAAGCGUCUGUAGGUGGUUCGAAAAGUCCACUGUUAAAAAUUGAGGCUUAACUUCAAAGAUGCCGUGGAAACUUUCAAACUAGAGUAUGGUAGGGGUAGAGGGAAUUUCCAGUGGAGCGGUGAAAUGGCGUAGAUAUUGGAAAGACCACCGAUGGCGAAGGCACUCUACUGGGCCAUUACUGACACUGAGAGACGAAAGCUAGGGGAGCAAAAUGGG